rnacentral:rRNA from 1 species
UACGGGGGGGGCAAGCGUUGUUCGGAAUUACUGGGCGUAAAGGGCUCGUAGGCGGCCAACUAAGUCGGACGUGAAAUCCCUCGGCUUAACCGGGGAAUGGCGUCCGAUACUGGAUGGCUCGAGUGUGGGAGAGGGAUGCGGAAUUCCAGGUGUAGCGGUGAAAUGCGUAGAUAUCUGGAGGAACACCGGUGGCGAAGGCGGCAUCCUGGACCUCGACUGACGCUGAGUGAGCGAAAGCCAGGGGAGCAAACGGG